UACGUAGGCAGCAAGCGUUGUUCGGAGUUACUGGGCGUAAAGGGUGCGUAGGCGGUCCUAUAAGUAUGGUGUGAAAUCUCCCGGCUCAACUGGGAGGGUGCGCCGGAAACUGGAUGACUGGAGUGCCGGAGAGGUAAGCGGAAUUCCUGGUGUAGCGGUGAAAUGCGUAGAGAUCAGGAGGAACACCUGUGGUGUAGACAGCUUACUGGACGGUGACUGACGCUGAGGCACGAAAGCGUGGGUAGCAAACAGG
rnacentral:rRNA from 1 species